rnacentral:rRNA from 1 species
AUUGAACGCUGGCGGCAGGCCUAACACAUGCAAGUCGAGCGGAGCGGCGGACGGGUGAGUAAUGUAUCGGAACGUGCCCAGUAGCGGGGGAUAACUACGCGAAAGCGUAGCUAAUACCGCAUACUAUUGGCGCGGCCGAUAUCGGAUUAGCUAGUUGGGGGGGUAACGGCGCACCAAGGCGACGAUCCGUAGCUGGUUUGAGAGGACGACCAGCCACACUGGGACUGAGACACGGCCCAGACUCAGACGGGAGGCAGCAGGGGGGAAUUUUGGACAAUGGGGGAAACCCUGAUCCAGCCAGCCCGCGUGUGCGAUGAAGGCCUUCGGGUGGGAAAGCACUUUUGGCAGGAAAGCGGUACCUGCAGAAUAAGCACCGGCUAACUACGUGCCAGCAGCCGCGGUAAUAC